rnacentral:tRNA from 1 species
CGGGGUGUGGCGCAGUUGGUAGCGCGUCUGGUUUGGGACCAGAAGGUUCGACGGUUCGAGUCCGUCCACCCCGA